rnacentral:rRNA from 1 species
GAUGAACGCUGGCGGCGUGCCUAAUACAUGCAAGUCGAGCGAACAGAUGAGGAGCUUGCUCCUCUGACGUUAGCGGCGGACGGGUGAGUAACACGUGGAUAACCUACCUAUAAGACUGGGAUAACUUCGGGAAACCGGAGCUAAUACCGGAUAAUAUAUUGAACCGCAUGGUUCAAUAGUGAAAGACGGUUUUGCUGUCACUUAUAGAUGGAUCCGCGCCGCAUUAGCUAGUUGGUAAGGUAACGGCUUACCAAGGCAACGAUGCGUAGCCGACCUGAGAGGGUGAUCGGCCAAACUGGAACUGAGACACGGUCCAGACUCCUACGGGAGGCAGCAGUAGGGAAUCUGCCGCAAUGGGCGAAAGCCUGACGGAGCAACGCCGCGUGAGUGAUGAAGGUCUUCGGAUCGUAAAACUCUGUUAUUAGGGAAGAACAAAUGUGUAAGUAACUAUGCACGUCUUGACGGUACCUAAUCAGAAAGCCACGGCUAACUACGUG